UGUGUGUGUGUGUGUGUGUGUGUGUGUGUGUGUGUGUGUGUGUGUGUGUGUGUGUGUGUGUGUGUGUGUGUGUGUGUGUGUGUGUGUGUGUGUGUGUGUGUGUGUGCACGCGUUAUAGCAAAGGUAUCCGCGCGUAACCGUGUAUCCGGAUCAACUGGCCGGAUAUCGAAAACCAGACCAAUACAAAUCUGAAUUCAGGAUUAGCGUUUACGACAGAGAGGGAGAGAGAGAGAGAGAGAGAGAGAGAGAGAGAGAGAGAGAGAGAGAGAGAGAGAGAGAGAGAGAGAGAGAGAGA